rnacentral:lncRNA from 1 species
UUUUCAAGGACUUUUGGAAUUUAACUUUGCGUAAACCACCAAAAAGAGGAACUUUUAUUAAUAAUUUCUUUAAUCAAUGUUCGUUACAAAAAAUAAAUAAUAAAAAUACAAUGAGAGAUCAAGUCUCCCAGGGACGACUUCUUUUUGGGUGGAGAUAUACAUUGAGUCUUCGUUCCUCAUUAAGCUGGCUGGUGAGCUCUAAUACUUUCUUCCUUUCUGCACCGAACUAAG